rnacentral:rRNA from 1 species
AUGGUUUCUCUGUUUAUUAAUUUGCCUUGCUUUCUUUCAUGGUCCUUACUUUCUGUUUGGCAGCUUGUUUCAGUUACAACUGAGUUCUUGGGUUCCACUUUGUUGUUGGAAACUACUUACUGGUGGAGCUGCUGCUCGGUUCAUAGGGUCCAUCAUCUUAUUGGUUCUCUUUUGCCGAUGAAAACGAUUGUGCCAUCCAGCCAUACCAUUGGUCGGCGUUACUACCAGGAGAACUUUCAGGAUGGUCUUACAAUUUGUCGAGUGGAUGAGGCCCCUGAUACUUUUACUAUUUUUACAUGUAGUCCAAUGUGGCUUGAGAUUACUAAGGUGAAGCUUAACGAAUAUCUAGAUGAAAUCCAGUCAGGCCAUGCCUAUGGUCCUAUAAACGCUGUUCUGUACACCGUGGAGUUUCAGAAGUUCCUGGUAUUCCUGUGGAAGUAUGUUUUUAGACCAGUGGAAGGUCAUUUAAUGAUUAAGUUUACAAAGCGCACUGAACUUGUGGAGAGAACUGGAAUGGAAGCAGAGUUCCCCUUCUAUGUCAUUGGAGUGAUUACUGGAAUCUCUGAAGCUGUUCAGUAUGUUAGUGCAAAAUCUCAGUGCGUUCUUUUUAAAGACAAAGCAGUUUGUUGA